rnacentral:lncRNA from 1 species
UGCUCUCCACGUGGCGAUGAAAUAUGGUCAAAAAAUGACGAUCGAUAAAACGAACUCUAUCUAAGAUUACUUCUAAUAAACAUUAGAAGCACGAGGCAGGUUAUAACCAUACAAAUUCUAACACUAGUCUACUUUACAAUUUCAAUUUUCAAUUUUCAAGUUUACCGCUUACGAAAUUUAAACAGCUUGCUUGCUGCGAUGAAAUUCUAAAAAGGACUAAAUGACGUCACAGAAUAUAACGUCACUCAUGUUGGGUAAAUCUAAAACAUGAAACACAAUCCGUGAGUGGCCCCGGCGAUAACUGAAUUUAAGUCUAUUAACUUAAAUUCCAUUAAGUAUAACCAUUUUAUCGAGUGCCAUUUGGAAUCUCACAAGUCUAAAGAUAUAGGACAGAUUGUUGUUAAAUAUAUGUUGGCCUGUAUAGCUGUGAUAUUGUAAAGACAGAGUGUAUCUUUGAAAAGUUGAAACAUACUGACGGACGAAUAAAAAAAAUUAGUAUAAAGACAAAAAAAGCAGUGUCGGGA